UUUUUUUUUUUUUUUUUUUUUGAGAUGGUAUUUCGCUCUUGUUGCCCAGGCUAGAGUGCAAUAGCGUGAUUUCGGCUCACUGCAACCUCCGCCUUCUGGGCUGAGGCAGAAGAAUGGCGUGAACCUGGGAGGCGGAGGUUGCAGUGAGCCGAGAUCGUGCCACUGCACUCCAGCCUGGGAGACAGCGCAAGACUCUAGCUCAAACAAACAAACAAACAAAACAGCAACAACAACAACAAAACCAUCCUCCCCUCCCGAGGGGACAGAACAGAAACGAAUGGGCGAGUGCCGGGCCAAGCAGUGGGUCUCCAGCAGGUGGCAUUAAAAUAGGAAUUUUGGCUGGGGACGGUGGCUCACACCUGUAAUCUCAGCACUUUGGAAAGCCCAGGCGGGCGGUCACCUGAGGGCAGAACCAGCCUCGCCAACAUGGUGAAAUGCCAUCUCUACUAAAAAUAAAAAAUUAGCCAGGCCUGGUGGUGGGUGUCUGUAAUCCCAGCAACUCGGGAGGCUGAGGCAGGAGAAUCGCUUGAACCAGGGGGGCAGAGGUUGCAAUGAGUCAAGAUUGCACCACCGCACUCCAGCCUGCGUAACAAGAGCGUGUAACUCUUGUCUCAAAAAUAAAUUAAAUAAAUAAA
rnacentral:lncRNA from 1 species